AAGCGGUGGGCGGCGCGGGGCAGGCCGACGGAUGCACGGCGGGGCCCAGCCUGGCUGUCGAGGCGAGGCGCAGCAGGGCCAGGUCGGCGCCCAGCUCCACGCUGCUGUAGUCGCCCGGCACCAGGAUGGCGGCCACUGCGCAGGCUUGCGCGGCGUCCCUGUCCGGCCCCGCGAGCGCGCGCAGCAGCACAGACCACUCGGCGGCCGGCGCCACGGUCCGGUUCCUGCGCCGAGGCCGGGCCCUAGGGUCGGACUGCGCCGGAGCCGGGGAGCAGGGAGGGGGCCCGAGGAGCAGGGGUGGGGCCUGGGGCGGCUGGCUUGGAGCGGGAGCCGGAGCCGGGCUGCGUGGCCUCUGCCCGGAUGCGGGGCACCUCUCGCAGGACCCGGCUCGGGGCGCAGGGACCUCGGAGCCGCGGGGAGGACCCAGGUGGAGGCGCACGUGCCACGGCCAGGCGCCCCCCAGAAUGCGGGCGGAGAGCUCGGGGCGCCCGAAGUCUGCAGUGCGGAGUUCCGGGAACCAGAGCCUACCUGGGGCCCAUUCCGGAGGCCCAGGCUCUCACUGUUCCCCGGGCUGAACCUGGACUUACGGACUCAAGUAAUGGGGACUACAGCCCCCUCUGGAACUACAGCAGCCAAAAUGAAGUUCGGUCCUUUUGGGACUUCGGACCGAGGCAGUAUCUGUGAAAGGCAUUCCGUGCACCUUCGCGUUGGCAGGGAGGUUGUCUCGCCCUCUUCCAGGGCGCUGAGAGAGAAACAUAGCGUUCACUCUGUACCCUCCGACGGAUGGGGGCAGGUCCGUGAGGACACUGCAAAGGCCUGCAGGUGGUGGAGGAGUCCAGGCUUCCGGAAGAAACCUGCAGCCCACGCUGAGCUGAGCUGUGCCGCGGGAGGAGGCGAACGGCACCAUCCAUGCGGGCGCCCCGGGCUAGCGCUGGACAGAGGCGCAGAAAGACCCAGAGCCAGAUCUCGCCAAGUGGGAAAGGAAAAGAGCAGAUAAAAGAAGAAACAGUCGAGAAGAGCUGCAGUAGCGUCCUUUUACAUACAGCUUUAAUGAAAACUGCCAAAUCGGAAAAAGAAGCUCCGUAGCUCUGGUCUGUCGCGUGCUCCUCCCGGUGCCAGCCCCACCGUCCACUUUCCUGGGCCUCACUCCGGCCUCCUCCGGGAAGCGCAGCUCCUCUGCAGGCGCACCGGGACACCGCUGUCGGGACAGGGCCGCAGGGCCGCCCCGAGCCCCAGGUCCCUCCCUGUGCUCCCCUCGACUCCCGGCAGUGGAGCUCACGGCCGGCCGAGGGCGGGCGCGGGGACUAGCGCCUCAGAGCUCUGGCAACAUCUGUGAAUUCCUGGAGGCCAGUCCCGGGACACUAAGAGGGUUGCUUCUAGUAACCUUCAGAGGGUGGCUGAGAUUCCAGCUCACCUUGCUGAGCCCUGCGGAGUUUCCCAGGGCGUGUCUCUUUUCUCAUUAGUACGUAUUGGGAGUACACUGUGAUUACAUUCCUUUUUCCCGCGGUACCCGUCCUGGGGAUGGAACUCAGGGCCUUGCACUUGCCAGGCACGUGGCCUAUCCCGGAGCUACAUCCCGGCCCCCAGUGAUUACCUCCUUGUGAGGCCUUGGUGCCCGUACUUAACA
ensembl:lncRNA